rnacentral:rRNA from 1 species
AGCGAACGCUGGCGGCAGGCUUAACACAUGCAAGUCGAGCGGGCCCUUCGGGGUCAGCGGCGGACGGGUGAGUAACACGUGGGAACGUACCCUUUGGUUCGGAAUAACGCUGGGAAACUAGCGCUAAUACCGGAUACGCCCUUUUGGGAAAAGGCUUGCUGCCGAAGGAUCGGCCCGCGUCUGAUUAGCUAGUUGGUGGGGUAAUGGCCUACCAAGGCGACGAUCAGUAGCUGGUCUGAGAGGAUGAUCAGCCACACUGGGACUGAGACACGGCCCAGACUCCUACGGGAGGCAGCAGUGGGGAAUAUUGGACAAUGGGCGCAAGCCUGAUCCAGCCAUGCCGCGUGAGUGAUGAAGGCCUUAGGGUUGUAAAGCUCUUUUGUCCGGGACGAUAAUGACGGUACCGGAAGAAUAAGCCCCGGCUAACUUCGUGCCAGCAGCCGCGGUAAUACGAAGGGGGCUAGCGUUGCUCGGAAUCACUGGGCGUAAAGGGCGCGUAGGCGGCCAUUCAAGUCGGGGGUGAAAGCCUGUGGCUCAACCACAGAAUUGCCUUCGAUACUGUUUGGCUUGAGUCUGGUAGAGGUUGGUGGAACUGCGAGUGUAGAGGUGAAAUUCGUAGAUAUUCGCAAGAACACCGGUGGCGAAGGCGGCCAACUGGACCAGUACUGACGCUGAGGCGCGAAAGCGUGGGGAGCAAACA